rnacentral:rRNA from 1 species
GACGAACGCUGGCGGCGUGCUUAACACAUGCAAGUCGAACGGAAACGCCCUGCUUUUGUGCGGUGCGCGAAUUACCACCUGGUGAGUAACCCUUGGGUACCCUACCCUUACCUUUGAGGUAGCUUCAGGACACUUGGGCUGAUACCGGAUAGGAACUCCUGCUGCAGAUUGGGGGGUGUCUAGUUUGGGCGGUUGGGGAUGGAAGCGCGGGUUAUCCACGUAUUGGUGGGUUAUUGGCUUACCAGGGCUUUGACGGUUAGACGGCGUGAGAGGGGGAGCGGACACAUUGGGAGAGAGAUACGGCCCAGACUCCUACGGGAGGGAGCAGUGGGGAAUAUUGCACAAUGGGCGGAAGACUGAGGCAGCAACGCCGCGUGCGGGAGGACGGCCCUCGGGGUGUAAAACGCUUUCGCCUGUGACGAAGAGUGAGUGACGGUAACGGGUAAAGAAGCACCGGCUAACUACGUG